rnacentral:rRNA from 1 species
UACGGGGGGGGCAAGCGUUGUUCGGAAUUACUGGGCGUAAAGGGCUCGCAGGCGGCCGACUAAGUCAGACGUAAAAUCCCUUGGCUUAACCAAGGAAUGGCGUCUGAUACUGGACGGCUUGAAUUCGGGAGAGGGAUGUGGAAUUCCAGGUGUAGCGGUGAAAUGCGUAGAUAUCAGGAGGAACACCGAUGGCGAAGGCAGGUCUCUGGGCUGACACUGACGCUCAUGCACGAAAGCGUGGGGAGCAAACAGG